GUACAUUUGCACCAAUUUUUACAUGGCAUUUUCACACUAAGAAUGCCACGUGCAAAAUUAUAUACAGGAACAAUUCUGAACAAAUAUAUGCAAGUGAGUUGUAAAUUUGAUAUGUAAUGCAUACAUUACAAAAACCCAUGACAGUGUUCACUAAAAUGAAAUGUAUGGACUCUUAUAUAAAUACUUGGUAUAUGUGAUAUGGAUAUUAUGGAUGAUAUUUUUGAGAAUGACACAAGUAAUGAAAUUUUUCAGCAUUGAAUUGGAUUCUUGAACCAGAGCCAUGUGAACCUGGUCCACCUGUACCUCUCAUUGAAGACCUGUUAACAUCACCAGAGUAUGUUCAUUCUGAUACCCCUAUGGUAUGGUUACAGCAUGCAUUAUCCCUGAAUCCAUUAAAAGAGCUGCAUUGGCAACGAAACAACCCAAUGUGGUCGAUUGUAAGGAAAUAAAGCAUAUCAGCUUCCAACUUUGGUGCAGUUCUCAGUUCUAAGCAAAGGCGAUUGACAUUGUCACUGAAGAAACAGCUGAUGUCGGCUUACAAUCUGGAGUCCAUCAAGGCUGUUGCAUGGGGUAUCACUCAUGAAGAUGAUGCUUUGAGAAAGUAUGAAAAGGACUUUGAUGCAGCUGUAGAGCAGUCAGGAUAUGGUUGCAUGAAUCCGGUGUGUUGGGAGCUUCACCUGAUGGCUUAGUUGUUCGACCACCAACAUGCAGUGUAUUUUAUCAAACUCCAGAAGCCAAAGACGCCAUUCCUGAUAUUGUAGAGGUGAAGUGUCCAUAUACAGCAUCGUCUUCAACAGUAGCAGAUGGGGCACAAAAUUUGAAGGAUUUUUCAUAGAUCUUAAACAAGAUACCCUGUGCCUGAAAACCAGUCACCCAUACUAUCAUCAAAUUCAAGGCCAGCUACACAUAUGUAACAAAACAUUCUGCGACUUAAUUGUGUGGACAAGAGUAGACUGCAUUGUGAUUAGAAUAGUAAAAGACAUUGAAUGGACAGCAAAUGUUCCAAAGCUUAUAGAUUUCUACAUUAACAUUUUCAUUUCAGCACUGAUGGAAAACUGAGUUCUGGUUUGAACUUCUUGACACUUAAUUUUGUACCUCUAGAAUUUUCUAACAAUGGAAAAUGGGUAAUCAUGUUAAAUGUGUUGAAUGUUCCUAAGUCUCAUAAAUGUAUGACAUGAUAUGUCACAAUCCAUCUUAAAACUUCUGGCUUAUAAGACUAUUUUAAA